rnacentral:miRNA from 1 species
AUGACUGAGUGUAGCGCAGAGA